rnacentral:lncRNA from 1 species
GUUAGGAAAUAAAUUUUUGAAAUUAAAUAGAAAAAUAAAAUCCGUUAUCUUAAAAAGAAAAUAUAUUUUGAAAUUAAAUAGAUGAUAAUAUCUAAAAAAAGAUAUUUUAAAAUAAAAUAGAAAAAUAUCUUUUAUAGGAUUUUCACACCUGUAAUCUGUUAUAGAGAACUUACUUUUGAAAUUAAAUAGAAAAAUUUAUAUUUUAGAAUUUUCACAUCAGUAAUUUGUUAUAGAGAACUAACGUAUUCAUUGCUGUUUCUAUUUUUAUUCUUAUAUUUAAAUUUUUUCGUACGGAAAGAUUUUUAUUCUUAUAUUUAAAAUUUUUCGUACGGAAAGAAAAAAAUGGGCACUAAUUUUCCCGCCGAAAAAUGGGUCCGUCAACGGACCCAAAUUUGAAUAUACGUGCUUUUAUAUAUAGUAUAGAUGAUUUUUCGAGAAAGGUCUUUUGUCGAAAGAG